rnacentral:tRNA from 2 species
GCCGGGAUGGCGGAAUUGGUAGACGCGCCUGAUUUAGGAUCAGGUGUCCCCUGGACGUGCAGGUUCGAGUCCUGUUCCCGGUA